UCCGGUACUCGUUAAGGCUGAGCUGUGAUGGGGAGAAGACAUUGUGUCUUCGAGUCGUUGAUUUCACACUGCCGAGAAAAGCCUCUAGAUAGAAAAUAGGUGCCCGUACCGCAAACCGACACAGGUAGUCAAGAUGAGAAUUCUAAGGUGAGCGAGCGAACUCUCGUUAAGGAACUCGGCAAAAUGACCCCGUAACUUCGGGAGAAGGGGUGCUCUUUAGGGUUAACGCCCAGAAGAGCCGCAGUGAAUAGGCCCAAGCGACUGUUUAUCAAAAACACAGGUCUCUGCUAAACCGUAAGGUGAUGUAUAGGGGCUGACGCCUGCCCGGUGCUGGAAGGUUAAGAGGAGUGGUUAGCUUCUGCGAAGCUACGAAUCGAAGCCCCAGUAAACGGCGGCCGUAACUAUAACGGUCCUAAGGUAGCGAAAUUCCUUGUCGGGUAAGUUCCGACCCGCACGAAAGGCGUAACGAUUUGGGCACUGUCUCAACGAGAGACUCGGUGAAAUCAUAGUACCUGUGAAGAUGCAGGUUACCCGCGACAGGACGGAAAGACCCCGUGGAGCUUUACUGUAGCCUGAUAUUGAAAUUCGGCACAGCUUGUACAGGAUAGGUAGGAGCCUUUGAAACGUGAGCGCUAGCUUACGUGGAGGCGCUGGUGGGAUACUACCCUAGCUGUGUUGGCUUUCUAACCCGCACCACUUAUCGUGGUGGGAGACAGUGUCAGGCGGGCAGUUUGACUGGGGCGGUCGCCUCCUAAAAGGUAACGGAGGCGCUCAAAGGUUCCCUCAGAAUGGUUGGAAAUCAUUCAUAGAGUGUAAAGGCAUAAGGGAGCUUGACUGCGAGACCUACAAGUCGAGCAGGGUCGAAAGACGGACUUAGUGAUCCGGUGGUUCCGCAUGGAAGGGCCAUCGCUCAACGGAUAAAAGCUACCCCGGGGAUAACAGGCUUAUCUCCCCCAAGAGUUCACAUCGACGGGGAGGUUUGGCACCUCGAUGUCGGC
rnacentral:rRNA from 1 species